UACGUAGGGUGCGAGCGUUAAUCGGAAUUACUGGGCGUAAAGUGUGCGCAGGCGGCAGAGCAAGUCGAGUGUGAAAGCCCCGGGCUUAACCUGGGAACUGCGUUUGAAACUGGGGAGCUAGAGUGUAGAAGAGGGGGGUGGAAUUCCAGGUGUAGCGGUGAAAUGCGUAGAUAUCUGGAGGAACACCGGUGGCGAAGGCGGCAUCCUGGACCGGCAUUGACGCUGAGGCGCGAAAGCCAGGGGAGCAAACGGG
rnacentral:rRNA from 1 species